UACGUAUGGUGCAAGCGUUGUUCGGAAUCAUUGGGCGUAAAGGGUGUGUAGGCGGAUUAACAAGUCAGGUGUGAAACCUUCGGGCUCAACUCGAAGCCUGCACUUGAAACUGUUAAUCUGGAAUCUGGGAGAGGCAAGUGGAAUUUCUGGUGUAGCGGUGAAAUGCGUAGAUAUCAGAAGGAACACCGAUGGCGAAGGCAACUUGCUGGCCUAAGAUUGACGCUGAAACACGAAAGCGUGGGUAGUGAACGGG
rnacentral:rRNA from 1 species